rnacentral:rRNA from 1 species
AUACGAAGGGUGCAAGCGUUAAUCGGAAUUACUGGGCGUAAAGCGCGCGUAGGUGGUUUUGUAAGUUGGAGGUGAAAGCCCCGGGCUCAACCUGGGAAUUGCCUCCAAAACUGCAUGACUAGAGUACGGCAGAGGGUAGUGGAAUUUCCUGUGUAGCGGUGAAAUGCGUAGAUAUAGGAAGGAACACCAGUGGCGAAGGCUCCUCACUGGUCGGAUAGUGACACUGAGGUGCGAACGCGUGGGGAGGAAACAGGAUUAGAUACCCUGGUAGUCCACGCCCUAAACGAUGUCAACUGGUUGUUUGAGAAGUAUUUUCUCAGAGACGAAGCUAAAGCGUGAAGUUGACCGCCUGGGGAGUACGGUCGCAAGGUUAACACUCACAUGUAUUGUCAGGG